rnacentral:misc_RNA from 1 species
AGGUAUUGUAAGUGAAAGGCAAUAUCUAUUCUUUUUAAACAAACUAUUUCUUUUGUUCUCUCCUGUAUAUCUAUCUCUUGUUAGAUAAUAAUUUCACUUCUGCUCUAAGAAGUACCCAUUUUUAAUUAGAAAUUGUGCGUGCAUUGUUGAGCAUUUUCUUAUUUGUGAUCUCUGGUGGUUUGUUUAGAAUGAGCGGGAGCUGAAACGGGAGAGGAGGAAACAAUCAAAUCGAGAAUCUGCUAGAAGGUCAAGAUUGAGGAAAC